CCGCGUGGAGCGGAGCGGGCUUGCGGCCACACGGCCGCGGUGCCGCGGGGAGAGAUGGAGACCUCGCCCAGCCGCCUCGGCGGGCAGCGGUCGAGCACCGCUUUACCCCCGACGGGGCGGGGGCCUCCCGCCUCAGGCCGGCGGCGGCGGUCCGGCGCGGCGGGCUGCGGCAACGGCCGGCGCCGGGCCCGCGGUGGCGGUGAGGGGGGCCGCGGCACGGCCCGCUCACCAGCUGCACGGCCGAGCAGGGCGGUGCUGGUUGGAGCCCAGCUUUGUAAGCGCGCCUGAAAACUGAGGGGCCGGGUGUGAAGUGAAGGCUUAAAGCAGACGGUCGAGGGAUUCUGUCAUGAAGUUUCUCUUCUCUGAUCUGCUGUUCAAAAUACUCAGCAACCGUUCUUUCACAUGACCUACUUAAAGUCUGACACAACCAUACAGAGUGCUCAAAGAGGGCAGUAUGUUAUCUCUAUUGGCACUAACAUAUGUCAAAACGGCAGUCUUGAGGACUUGUGUUGAAAGAUGCACUGUCACUUUAUUGAAGGCAGGGCAGAGACCAAACAUCCUGGACAUCCUGUUACUAUGUGGGAAAGCAGCAGUUCUUGGUGGUUAUUCAGAAGCUUUGGUGCUAAAGUGCUGAUUUAGCACACUAAGGAGUGGCUGAGUAAAGAAAAGAAAAUCAGUGGUGACAGGAUACAGGUUUUCUUUCUCCCAGAGUUGUCACAAUGCUUUCUACUGCAUCACUCCAGCUAUCAAAUUGUCUGGAAGAAUCACUUCUGUCAUGAUGCCUACCAAAAUGGUGAAUAAUAUGGGCAAAGACAAAAGAACAGUGAGAACAAUUUAUGAAACCCCUUUUAUUUCUGAUAUUAAGAAGACAUGGAUUCAUCUUCAAAGCUAUUCAUCCUUUUGACCGUGGUACUUCUAAGUUCUUCUUCACUAGACAUCAACAACCUUGUUGUUUUCCUAAUUGUUUGGAGAACAUUAUAAAGCAUUGCCAGAAAUAAAGAGAAAAAAUGGAAUGGUGGAACUGAAAUUGCCUUUGUGAUUCCCACGCCUCUUAAAUAAUUGUAUUCCUAUUUGUCCAUAUGCACCUCUUUCAGAAACAAUAGUAUCCUCAUUCCUGGCAAAGAAUGCUUCCUUCCUUGGUUACAGCUGUGAAGACAGGGUUUGUACUUAGAUGGAAAAAUAAGGAAAUGGAUUGCUCAGUUGGUAUAGUCUCCAUUUUUGGAAUCCCCUAAAAGCAUCAGACUUGCCACCAACUAAAAGGAAAGGAAACAUAAUAAAGUUUUCAAUAAGGUUUAUGUCCUUUAAAAUGGGAAACAAAGUGCCCCUUGCAGUAGCUGGAACUUAUGUAGCAUACCGUGAGCAAAAUUAGAAUUUCCUAUAUGCCCCUUGCGCUGGCCAAGCAUUUAACAGGCA